ensembl:lncRNA
GUAACACUUUAUUUUUAAAAGGUGUUCUUGGUACACGUUAGAUGUACUUAUAAUAACAAUAAAACAUGCAUAAUUAAAAUAGAUCUUAAAAAUAAAGGUGCUUCACAAUGCCAUAGAAGAACCUUUUUGUCUAGAUGGUUCCAUAAAGGACCUUUAACAUCUAAAGAACCUUUCUGUUUUACAAAAGGUUCUUUGUGGCGAAAGGUUCUUCAGAUUAUAAAAAAGUAAGAAAGAGAUGUUUCUUUAAAGAACCUUUGACUGAAUGGGUCUUUGUGGAACCAAAAAUGGUUCUUCUAUAACUUUGCUGUGAAGAACCUUUUAAGCAGCUAUAUUUUUAAGAGUGCACCCAUAUAGUAAGUACAUGUAGUUUAUUAAGAUUACUCAGUACUUAAAUGUAUAAUUAUUCCACUGUAACAAGGACACCUUAAAAUCUAACUUUUUAUUUUCUCAAAACUGCGAGAUAGGCGCAUGGAGAUAAACUCAGAAUUGUGAGAUAUAAAGUAACCUUUUUAUGUUUUUUAUCCUGUGAUGGCUUCCAUAAAACUGCAUACAGAUAUAAUUACUGGAUAUGCAAAUCAUACAGAAUAUCAUACAGACUUGGUUGGCUCUUUUGACUUUCAGUAAGCUAGCAUUGUGGUGACUACUAUUUUAGGAGACUUAAAUGCAUUUAAUAGGCAUAUUUUGAGUAAGAAGAUGAAGAAUCAUGUGUGGUCACACACAGCAGCACCACCAAGUUUCACACUAUUUUUUUUAUUCGUUCUCUCUCUUACUCAGUUUCUUUAUCUCUCACACACAUUUUUGUCUUUGAGGUUUCUGCUAGCCACUUCUGUUUACAGUGCAACUUCUGUUUCUGUGUAUGAGAAUCAACACAUAACCACUGUGAAGUAUACAAGCAGCUUUGUGCUCAGUUGGGGUUGUUAAUGCGCAAAAAGGGCACAGCGACACAGGACACAGAGUGUGUGACUAUCACCACAGUGAUGUCAUCCUUGUCCACUUUGUCCACUACCACCAAUACCAUUACUACAUUCCCUAUCACUAACACUUCCAUCUCCGGGACAGGUACUGAUAAACACAUGGCACUCUAUUCACUGUUGUGAUGUGUUGAAUAUACAUUUUUAGAAAGCAAUGUAUAAAGUAUUUGAAACUUAAAGUGAAAAAAUAGCAGCCAGAUUUAGCUCAUGAAACCUGUAAAGAAUCCCCAUAUAGCACCAAAUUUUUUUUAGUUAUUAUAGUUAACUAAAACUGAAACUAAAGUGAAAACCAUAAAACAUGUGCAUCUCAAUAAAUUAGAAUGUCGUGGAAAAGUUCAUUUAUUUCAGUAAUUCAACUCAAGUUAUGAAACUCGUGUAUUAAAUUAAUUCAAUGCACACAGACUGAAGUAGUUUAAGUCUUUGGUUCUUUUAAUUGUGAUGAUUUUGGCUCACAUUUAACAAAACCUCAACAAAUUAGAAUACUUCAUAAGA